CAACAACCAGCUCCUCCUGCCCGGCCCCGUUUGGUGCCUGAGGCUGCCACCUUUAACCUUCAGAAAGUCAACAUUUCUGCGGUCAAGCACUGAGAAAUGGAUGGGGAAAACGGCAUGACGGAGUGCCAAGCAACUGGUUUCCCCAAAAAGCAGCAGUUUCCUCAGCUGGAAUGGUCUCUGUGGUUGCCAUGACAGUGACUGGCAGGAUCCUAACACAAAGGACAUAAAUAAAUGCCCAGUCCUGGGAGCAAGAUAAGAUGCAAUUCUUUGAGCUGCAGAAAGGACAACACAAGUGAGUGACAGCAGCAAACCCAUGAGACUGGGGCAGAAAACUUUAAUUUCUUUGUACAGCAUGCACAUGGAAGGGUCCUUCCCUCCUGUUUGGGUAAUGAUAAAUGACAAGAUGUGACAGUUAUUAAUUAAACUGCCUGCCACAGCAAUGUACAUGAUGAUAAGAGCUA